CCUGAUGAUACUACUUCCAAAUACAAAGUUCCUUGCACUUUGUUAGUGACCUCGUUUUAUUUAACCGCUGCCUUCCCGCGCGCCAGGAAUGCAGAAGCCACAAGCGACUCAUUAUCAACAAACUGUAUUUCAUCCAACCCGGCCAUUUCAGAACCUGCAACUGGUGUCUCACCUGCGCAGGCAAGCACCCUUUCCAGACACCAUGAACCGGGAUUGGAAUCCACGCCAGACCGUACGGUAAAUGGUUGAGGAUCAGAAUUUAUACAGGUUGCUACAGGGUUCCGCGAAAGUGCGUCGGCAUUGGCGUUAACCUUUCCAGGUGUACGGUCCUAUCCGUCGGCGACCCGUUGAUUAGGUUGACCUCGGUUUAUGGGAAGAUUCCUUAGUACUCCGGCUCGAUGGUCCCCAAUUCAGCAACAGGUACCCCAGUAAAAUCCGUCCGCAAUCAGCUGCUUCAGGAAUGAUUUCAAUGAUGACGUGGAUGAGGUGCGUGUGAUUUCGGUGGAUGGCUUGCACGGCAGCCGAAAUCACCUGUCUCCGGUAUUUACCCUUCGCUCUUGGGGAAACCGUGCCAAAACCCAAGAGGGAGAAGUUGCACUUAACUUUGUCCACUUAUUUAAUAUGUAACAGUUCAAUAAAAUAGUUUGUAGAAUUUUUAA